GAGAUUGUAGCUCAGUUAGUUAGAGCAUCUGACUUUUAAUCGGAAGGUCGUGGACGGUCCGCCGCUGCGGUUCGACUCCCACCAGUCUCA
rnacentral:tRNA from 1 species